AUCCGGCUGACGAGUUCCAAAUAGAGUCAAACGCGCGUCCCGGAU
rnacentral:hammerhead_ribozyme from 1 species